CUGGCUCAGGAUGAACGUUGGCGGUGUGCCUAAUACAUGCAAGUCGAACGGUGAUCUUAUGGGAGCUUGCUUCCAUUUGAUUAUAGUGGCGAACGGGUGAGUAACGCGUUGGUGAUCUGCCUCGAAGUGUGGAAUAACGUUCCGAAAGGGACGCUAAUACCGCAUGUGCUCAAGGUUUUUAGAAAGCUUUGAGUAAAGGAUUUAUUCGCUUCGAGAGGAGCCUGCGUCCCAUCAGCUAGUUGGUAAGGUAACGGCUUACCAAGGCUAUGACGGGUAGGGGACCUGAGAGGGUGGCCCCCCACAAUGGAACUGAAACACGGUCCAUACACCUACGGGUGGCAGCAGUAGGGAAUAUUAGAAAUGGGCGAAAGCCUGAAUCUAGCGACACCGCGUGUGCGAUGAAGGCCUUCGGGUUGUAAAGCACUUUUUGGAAGGAAUAGGAAGGAAGGUACUUCCAGAAUAAGUCUCGGCUAACUACGUGCCAGCCGCUGC
rnacentral:rRNA from 1 species